AGAAGAGGCUUCCUGGGGAAGAUGGCACUGGAUCUUUAUGGAGGAGCAGGAUUCGAAAUGGUAGAGGAGAGAGAGUGAAGUGGAAGAGAUCUUGCAACAUUUCCUGCCCCACUGACCCCCUACUUUGGGCCUUAGCCCCAAGAGAAGAAGUAUGACUACCCUACUGUUCACAAACAAAGAUGUGGAAUCAACCUAAGUGUCCAUCAAUGGAUAAUUGGAUAAAGAAAAUGUGGCAUAGAUCUAUACAAUGGAAUACUAUUCAGCUAUAAAAAAGACUGAAAUCACAUCUUUUACAAAAACAUGGAUGAAACUGGAGGCCAUUCUCUUUAAGUGAAAUCACUCGGAAAUAGAAAGUCAAAUACCGCAUGUUCUCACUUACAAGUGGGAGCUACAUAAUAUGUACUCAUGGACAUAGAGUGUGGAAUGAUGGACAUUGGAGACUUGGAAGGGUGGAGGUGGAUGGGAGGGGUUGAGGGAUGAGAAAUUAUUUAAUAGGUACAAUGUAUAUUAUUUCGGUGAUGGUUACACUAAAAACCCAGACUUCACCACUGGGCAAUAUAUCCGUGUAAUAAAACUGCAUUUGUACCCCUUAAAUUUAUACAACUAAUAAAUAAAGAAGUA
rnacentral:lncRNA from 1 species